rnacentral:rRNA from 1 species
GAUGAACGCUGACAGAAUGCUUAACACAUGCAAGUCAACUUGAACUUCGGUUUGGGUGGCGGACGGGUGAGUAACGCGUAAAGAACUUGCCUCACAGCUAGGGACAACAUUUGGAAACGAAUGCUAAUACCUGAUAUUAUGAUUUUAGGGCAUCCUAGAAUUAUGAAAGCUAUAUGCGCUGUGAGAGAGCUUUGCGUCCCAUUAGCUAGUUGGAGAGGUAACGGCUCACCAAGGCGAUGAUGGGUAGCCGGCCUGAGAGGGUGAACGGCCACAAGGGGACUGAGACACGGCCCUUACUCAUACGGGAGGCAGCAGUGGGGAAUAUUGGACAAGGGACCAAGAGUCUGAUCCAGCAAUUCUGUGUGCACGAUGAAGUUUUUCGGAAUGUAAAGUGCUUUCAGUUGGGAAGAAAAAAAUGACGGUACCAACAGAAGAAGUGACGGCUAAAUACGUG